UACGUAGGCAGCGAGCGUUGUUCGGAGUUACUGGGCGUAAAGGGUGUGUAGGCGGUUGUUUAAGUUUGGUGUGAAAUCUCCCGGCUCAACUGGGAGGGUGCGCCGAAUACUGAAUGACUUGGAGUGCGGGAGAGGUGAGUGGAAUUCCUGGUGUAGCGGUGAAAUGCGUAGAUAUCAGGAGGAACACCGGUGGUGUAGGCGGCAUCCUGGACCGGCAUUGACGCUGAGUGAGCGAAAGCCAGGGGAGCAAACGGG
rnacentral:rRNA from 1 species